GAUGAAGAACGCAGCGAAAUGCGAUAAGUAAUGCGAAUUGCAGAAUUCAGUGAAUCAUCGAAUCUUUGAACGCACAUUGCGCCCGCCAGUAUUCUGGCGGGCAUGCCUGUUCGAGCGUCAUUUAAACCUUCAAGCUAAGCUUGGUGUUGGGUGACUGUCCGCUUCACUGCGGACUCGCCUCAAAAUUAUUGGCGGCCGGUACAUUGGCUUCGAGCGCAGCAGAAACGCGAACUCGGGCCCGUCGUAUUGGCUCCCAGAAGCUAUCUUCACAAUUUUGACCUCGGAUCAGGUAGGGAUACCCGCUGAACUUAAGCAUAUCAAUAAGCGGAGGA
rnacentral:misc_RNA from 1 species